UUUUCCUGGGCUGCUGCUAGUGAAGUACUCACCUACAAACACCUGGGACCAGAAGCUCUUAACUGGGCCACAGCUGGCACGGUGCAACUCAGUUCCCUGUGGCUGCAGAAGCGGGAGGGAGCCAGUGUUUGCAGAUGGAUUAGCUGCCGUUGUUCCAGCUAAUGACAUUCUUUUACCAGCUAUUUCCCUGCAUUUGUAGUACUGUAAAAGAAUGGCACAGGAUGGGGAAAGAAGUGCAGGCAUGGUUUUGCAAAGGGAGAACCUGAGUUUCUGAACUUCCAGUGUUCCCAAUGUGCAAACACACAGGUGGAUAAUAUGGACUUCAAACACCAAGUUUUGGCCCUGGGAAGCCUUUCUGAGAUGGUGCCUUGCAGAAGAGACUGUGGAACUCCGAGUCCUACUGGAGCCUGCUCCUUACUGGUUUGGAAGUGUUUGUGGGCUCUGAAUUGGAGCAACCCAGAGCAAAAUCAGGAAACCUGCUCUUCAGUAAACCUGUGCCAACAGAAACUGGGAAGAGAACUUCCAUGCGCUAUUAUUAACUGGGAUGUGCUCAGUUUGCUGUUGCGCCAAAGGGUCUGCUAGAAAUAAAAUUAGAAGCUACUUGAAUGCUUAUCAAGUUCUUUGCUACAUCACUGGGAGAACGACAUGCCAAAAUGACUGAAAGUUAAUAUCAUGUUCUCUGACAUCAGUCUGGUGAUGCACAACUCAGAGAAUGAAUUUCCACUGUCAGUAGAACUUUAAAAGCAUUUACAUACAUCAAACUCCAAGUUCUGAAACCCUGUAAUGUCCUUUCAAUAUGUGCCAUGGAUCCUAGAAUCUAAGUGACAGAUAUAAAUCUGACUAGCAGAUGGUUUAUUAUCAACUGAAGACAGAGGUAUAAUAUCACUGUGUGUUUACUACUGGGAGUGCCAGUACAAAGAGAAAUAAAGGCAGGGAAAUGGCUAGUACUGUUUAGAGAUUCUAAUUUUGCUGUAGUGAUAAAUCCAGUAUGUGAUUCAAAUGUUUCCAGAGAUACAGGAAUCUGUCUUUGCAAUUCCUUGUUAGUUCAAAACCAGAGUGACCCCACUAGCAUGUCAUGCAUUUCUUAAUUAGAGCAAACCAAAGAAAUACAUGGUCCUUUUGACAUCACAAGGAAAAGAUAUAGAUUCAUAGCUUUCACUAGGGUUUUUGGUUACUCUUGGCACAGUCCAAGAGCACUGGCUCAUGUCAGCACUUUCUGGAGCUUCUUUGAAAAGCAACAAAACCCAGAACCAGAGAAAGAAGCAGUGAACAGCAUGAAUGUCUGAGGACUCUUUGGAAAGAAAGGGUGACCCGUCCGGUUAUAUGCACAGUAUAUGCUUGUGUGUGUCAGACAGAGCAUUGCUGUUGACCAACAGAGAGCAUCUAUUUAACCUUUGCUGCUUCCCUAAUUGUGAUUUAGUAUACUCAGCAGUCCUAAACCGUCUCGGUGCUCUCCUUAUCUACAGUCCUGUAUGGCUAAGCCCUUUGAGGAAAGGAAAACAGAGUGCAUCCCUGGUGCUUUGUAUCAAUAAUGCUGUUCUAUCACCUGGGAGAGCCCCACCAAUUUGUGAAGAGCUUCUGAGACAUUCCUCUCAUUUGACUUCCACUCUAACAGGAGUAGCUGGAUAACAGGAAUGAUCUCAGAAGUGAUGGGUCCACACGUAGACAAAGGAGACCAGACAGGCACCAAUCCCAUUUACACUUUAGAUAGUCGCAGUUCCAAAAGCUUCCUUGUAGCCUUUGCCAAUGUUCUUAUCAUUGCUUUCUGUGCUGGGAGUCAGAAAGUCAAGAACUAUUUCCCUAGAUAUGGUGGUCAUCAUAUCUUUUCUGAUUCACGCUUCUUGCAAAGAAUUUUAAGCAAAGCAGAAGAUAGGAGCCCAAGUUUUACUGAAUCAGCUUACUAUUAAGUGUUUUAAAGGCAAAGGAUAAUAAACUCUUCUUACUAAUAACAUGCUUGUGCUACAGUGGUGCCUCUGAUUCUUUUGGGGAUCAGUAUUUUACUGCUGUGAACCUAUAUUUAAACAUGGAAAUUCAAACAGAACUAUAGCUGCUGUAUUGGUAGAUGCAGAUCUCUGUGGUACACCACAUCUCUGGCAUGCAAGGCUCUGGGAUGCUUGUUAUCUUUUUACUGUAUUCUUUGACCUGCCCAAGAAUAGAGAUGAGGUAGGAGGGUCAGUACUUCAGCUAAACAUCCCAUCCUGCUCUUCCCACCAUA